rnacentral:rRNA from 1 species
AUUGAACGCUGGCGGCAGGCCUAACACAUGCAAGUCGAGCGGUAGCACAGAGGAGCUUGCUCCUCGGGUGACGAGUGGCGGACGGGUGAGUAAUGUCUGGGGAUCUGCCCGAUAGAGGGGGAUAACCACUGGAAACGGUGGCUAAUACCGCAUAACGUCGCAAGACCAAAGAGGGGGAACUUCGGGCCUCUCACUAUCGGAUGAACCCAGAUGGGAUUAGCUAGUAGGCGGGGUAACGGCCCACCUAGGCGACGAUCCCUAGCUGGUCUGAGAGGAUGACCAGCCACACUGGAACUGAGACACGGUCCAGACUCCUACGGGAGGCAGCAGUGGGGAAUAUUGCACAAUGGGCGCAAGCCUGAUGCAGCCAUGCCGCGUGUAUGAAGAAGGCCUUCGGGUUGUAAAGUACUUUCAGCGGGGAGGAAGGCGAUGUGGUUAAUAACCGCGUCGAUUGACGUUACCCGCAGAAGAAGCACCGGCUAACUCCGUGCCAGCCGCCGCGGUAAAAC